CUGCCCAGUGACUCUGUUCAACGGCCGCGGUAUCCUAACCGUGCGAAGGUAGCGUAAUCACUUGUUUUUUAAAUGAAGACCUGUAUGAAAGGCACCACGAGGACUAAACUGUCUCCUUUUUCCAAUCAGUGAACCUAAUCUCCCCGUGAAGAAGCGGGAAUUAUAUUAUAAGACGAGAAGACCCUAUGGAGCUUAAAACACUAUGACAUCUGCCACCCCAUUAUCACACACUCAUCUAAACGGCAUUUUGAUCUUAUGUUUUUGGUUGGGGUGACCGCGGAGAAAAACUAAUCCUCCACGAUGAAAGGGAACUCCCUAAACAAUAAGCUACAUCUUUAUGUAUCAAUAAAUUGACAUCCAUUGACCCAAUAAUUUGAUUAACGAACCAAGUUACCCUAGGGAUAACAGCGCAAUCCACUUUAAGAGCCCCUAUCGACAAGUGGGCUUACGACCUCGAUGUUGGAUCGGGGUAUCCCAGUGGUGCAGCAGCUACUAAA
rnacentral:rRNA from 1 species